ACUGGUAGCCCAAGACUGGUUGCCCACUGAAGCUAAGCAGGGCUGAGCCUGGUCAGUACCUGGAUGGGAGACCUCCUGGGAAAACUAGGUUGCUGCUGGAA
rnacentral:rRNA from 1 species